rnacentral:rRNA from 1 species
AACUGAAGAGUUUGAUCAUGGCUCAGAUUGAACGCUGGCGGCAGGCUUAACACAUGCAAGUCGAGCGGGGGAAGGUAGCUUGCUACUGGACCUAGCGGCGGACGGGUGAGUAAUGCUUAGGAAUCUGCCUAUUAGUGGGGGACAACAUCUCGAAAGGGAUGCUAAUACCGCAUACGUCCUACGGGAGAAAGCAGGGGAUCUUCGGACCUUGCGCUAAUAGAUGAGCCUAAGUCGGAUUAGCUAGUUGGUGGGGUAAAGGCCUACCAAG